ACAGAGGGUGCAAGCGUUAAUCGGAAUUACUGGGCGUAAAGCGCGCGUAGGCGGUCGAGUGAGUCGGAUGUGAAAUCCCCGGGCUUAACCUGGGAAUUGCAUUCGAUACUGCUCGGCUAGAGUGUGGAAGAGGGAAGCGGAAUUUCCGGUGUAGCGGUGAAAUGCGUAGAUAUCGGAAGGAACACCAGUGGCGAAGGCGGCUUCCUGGUCCAACACUGACGCUGAGGCACGAAAGCGUGGGGAGCAAACAG
rnacentral:rRNA from 1 species